rnacentral:rRNA from 1 species
AUGAUGAUGAUCCUCUCACCGCGGCAAUGGCUACUGGUGCUACCUCCGGUCUUCCUCUCCACUCUUCUCUUCUCCUACCUGUACACCACCCUAUGGCUAAGGCCGGAGAGGCUCAGGCAGAAGCUGAGAAGCCAAGGAGUGAAGGGUCCCAAGCCUUCUUUCCUCUUCGGAAACAUACCGGAGAUGAGGAGAAUCCAGAAACUUGCCAUGUCUGAUCAAGAAGUGGGAGCAGGGUCUACAGAUCGCUUCUCCUCAAAUUAUGUGGCCACUCUGUUCCCUUACUUCCUCCACUGGACCAGAGUUUAUGGUUCCAUCUACUUGUAUGCUACUGGAAGCAUACAAACUCUACAUGUCAUAGAUCCUGACAUGGUGAAGGAGCUGGCCAGUUGCAAGUCUUUGGAUCUUGGAAAGCCUAGCUACUUGCAGAAAGAGCAUGGACCUCUUCUUGGUAUGGGAAUUUUGACGGCGAAUGGUGACCUAUGGGUACACCAACGAAAGGUCAUUGCACCUGAAUUCUUCAUGGACAAGGUUAAGGGAAUGGUUAAUUUGAUGAUGGAUGCUGCACUAUCAAUGUUGAAUUCAUGGGAAGAAAAGGUUGAGUCUGAAGGAGGCAGGGCAGAGAUUGUAGUUGAUGAGUUCUUGCGGAACUUCUCAGCUGAUGUUAUAUCAAGAGCUUCUUUUGGAAGCAGUUUUGUCGAAGGCAAGGGGAUAUUUUACAAAAUUCGCCAACUUCAGAAAUUGAUGGGGAAGCGAAGUAUGCUUAUUGGUGUUCCUGGAAGUAGAUAUUUACCGACAAAGAGUAACAGAGAGAUUUGGAACCUUGGGAGUUGCAUCCGUAGCCUCAUCUUGAACAUAGCCGAGAAGCACGGGCAUGAUUCAGCAACCACACCAAAUAAGUUUUUUCUGCACUCCAUCAUUGAGGGUUCUAAAGCCGCUUCCUUCUCUUCGUGCACACCCGAGGAUUUCAUCGUCGACAACUGCAAGAACAUCUACUUCGCGGGACAUGAGACAACCUCGAGCACUGCCGCGUGGUGCCUGAUGCUUCUUGCAGCGCACCCUGAAUGGCAGGACCGAGCUCGGGUGGAAGUCCUUGACGUUUGUCAUGGAGAAGCAUUAGACUUCGACAAGCUACGGAAGUUGAAAACGCUAACGAUGGUGAUCCAGGAGACCCUCCGCCUGUACCCGCCAGCCUCCUUUGUCACGCGGGAAGCUCUGAAGGACCUGAACCUCGGCGGCAUCGACAUCCCGAAAGGCACCAACAUCAGGGUCUCGAUCAUGCUGGCUCACCGGGACCCUUCGGCAUGGGGCGCCGACUGCGACAAGUUUGAUCCGGGAAGGUUUGCCGGAGGCAUAGCACGCGCCUGCAAGCCCCACCACAUGUACAUGCCGUUCGGCGUGGGUCCCCGGACGUGUGCCGGCCAGAACCUCGCCAUGGUUGAGGUCAAGGUCGUGCUGUCGCUGCUGCUGUCCAGGUUUGAGUUUGCACUCUCGCCGAGCUACGAUCAUCGACCCGUGUUCAGGCUGACCGUGGAGCCCGGGAGCGGCGUGCCGCUGAUUCUUAGGAAGCUAUGA